UUCAAAUCUCAAUUCAGUGUCAAUGGAGCCACCGGUAUCACUGUCGUCUCUCAGAUCGGACCCAGCCUUCACCAACUCAAACUUUAAUCUUUAUAGCCGCCUCAAGGAGCUUCAGCGCCAAAACGAGUUCAUCGACAUUAAAGACGAGCAGAAAUACCUAAAGCGCGAGAUGCUCUGGUUGUUGCGAGAAAGGUGUUGAAUCGGUGCGGCUAUUUCUUAGUUUUUAGAAAACAUAGAAAAUAUCAAAGUUGCAAUUGGUAGCUGCUCCAGAACCACAUGCUUUCCCAGUGGUCCAUUUGCGUCAUGCAUGAUUUUAAUAAGGGCGGAUAACAUGAUUCAUAUGCCUCAGUUCUUAUAGAAAUUGAUUAAUGAAAAGUUCUAUGUAGUUUAUUGACUUUCCUACUUAUAUUGUGGGUUAGUUGGUCACUUACUCAUUCUAAAAUGCAUAGAUCUACCUAUUUGCUUUAUAAAACAGCAAAAGCCUUCAACAUAACGAGAAAACCUAUGUUAGUAUCUUUCAA